CAUGUUCAUUUUUUAAAAAAAUUUCUUGUACUCUUCCAUUCAGAUAUCUAUCUCGAUCAACAGCGCUUCCACGGUUUGCUCAAGUGUGAAGCUAGAGAACAUAAGGAAGAGCUCCAAAGGCGUCAUUAUGCUCAAGUACGUUACGUGGGAAGUGAAAAGAGGAGAGAGAGCAGGGUUAGUAAGCUUUAGCGGAGCGGGGGAAAACGACCCAGCUCAGGAUCAUCAAGAACCCGAUUCCGGUUACGUUGUCAAGGCCAACCCAAUAUGAAAGUCACUUUCUUGAGCCAAGAGUUCGAGGUUUCCAUGAGCAGGACUGUGAAGGAAGAGUUCAUGGGUGCUUUCAAGGAAGAGAUGGAGAUAACCAAGAAGCUGGAGAAAAUUCAGAAGGUUAUUGAAGGCUCUGUAUAUGGGAAGGUCCUUAGACGAGUUUGAUAUGUUGCAGAGAAGAUUUCAAGCUGUGAACUUAGACAUGGUCUAAGUUAAAGUUAGUAAGCUGAUACCGGGGUUAGGGUUUCUACCAGAGGAUGCUGAUAGGCUUGUGGCUUCGUUUAGCGGUGGAUGGCAAAUGAGAAUGUCACUCAGAAAUAUUCAGCUUCAGGAUCCAGAAUUGCUGCUACUUGAUGAGCCUACAAACCAUUUGGAUCUUGAUACUAUUGAAUGGCUUGAAGGCUAUUUU